AUGACCACACUAAAAGAAGUUCCUAUUCCCUCCAUUUGGAGAAAGCAAUCGGCGGAGGCCGUGGAGGUGGUGGAUGUUGAGGAGGAAGAGGAGGAGGAGGCCGGACCCUCCCAGCCUAUUGAGCCACCCACACCAGAUGUGGGAGAA